GUUGACUUUAUGCAUUUAUUCAACCAUUACUAUCAGGAGGAAGUUGUGCCCAGUCCUUGGGCCCAUAAAGUUCAGUUUGUCAAUGAGGUUGGCUCUUCAAGGACACACAACAGACAAGAUCUCAGGGAGACUGAUUGAACUGCCCAGGGGUUGGUAUCUGCCCCCACCCCUGCCCCGUUCGGGUUCUGUUCUAUGCUGUGGCCCUGCUCUUAAUCACUAAGAAAGGGAGACUGGAGCCAUCAAAGAGAGACUUCCCAAAGCCCCUGCUCACUCACGCACUCUGGAAGCCUGCCUGAGAUGCUUGCUGCUGUUCUCACAUGUCUCUGCCAGGUGACUACAGGCACUGACUGUUCAUGUGUCUGUGUCUCCCCCACGUGACUUCAGUUUCUGCUCUGUCAUCCAUGCGUCUGGGCACAGGUGCUGACUCCAAGAUCCUCCUGCGGUUUCAGUGUGUUCCUCCCAGGCACUCCCCAUCCACAGCCAUUCUUGCCUCAAGAUCCAUAACCGGUAGCCCUGGAGUCUCCACUUCUCGCAUCCUUAAAUUCAGGAUCCUCUUCAUUGAAAGACUCCCAAGGGUCGGGUGUGGUAGUAUAGGCCUAUAAUCCCAGCACUCAGGGCAGACACAGGUGGAUCUCUGUGGUCUAUGUAUGGAGCUCUAGGCUAGGCAGGACUACAUAGUGAAAGCCUCAGGACUCCUCCUGGUGGCUGCAGUGGCCUUCCUCAGCGUCCUGGUUUUGAUGUCUGUCAGGUGGGAGUGUGAUUUUAGGCCAGGGGACUUGUGAAGACAUCAGCGCCACUUCCUAGACCUGUGGGAUCACAUCUUGGGACACUCGGUCUGAUAGCCGUUAGAACUCAUCUAUCUGGGAUCUCGCCGAAUUGUGGUGCUGUGCGGACAGGAGACAGUCAAGGAAGCUCUGGUGGACCAAGCUGAGGAAUUCAGCGGGCGGGGCGAGCAGGCUACCUUCGACUGGCUUUUCAAAGGCUAUGGUGAGAGGGUCUUCCCAGGCAUAGCCUUCAGCAGCGGGGAGCGAGCCAAACAGCUAAGGCGCUUCUCCAUCACCACGCUGCGGGACUUCGGCGUGGGGAAGCGUGGCAUCGAGGAGCGCAUCCAAGAGGAGGCGGGCUUUCUCAUCGAUUCAUUUCGGAAGACGAACGGUAAGCAGAGCACCGCAAGUUCUCAGGACCUUAGCCGAACAGUCUCCAAUGUCAUUAGCUCAAUCGUCUUCGGGGACCGCUUUGACUA
rnacentral:antisense_RNA from 1 species